rnacentral:rRNA from 1 species
CUUUACCAUGCGGGCAACCGUGAUAAGGAAACCCGAGUGCCAGCACAGGCUGGCUGUCCGCCAGUUUAAAUAACUGGUGAAGAAAGGGCCGGGCAAGACCGGUGCCAGCCGCCGCGGUAAUGCCGGCGGCUCGAGUGGUGGCCGCUAUUACUGGGUCUAAAGGGUCCGUAGCCGGUUUGGUCAGUCUUCCGGGAAAUCUGACGGCUCAACCGUUAGGCUUUCGGGGGAUACUACCAGGCUUGGGACCGGGAGAGGUAAGAGGUACUACGGGGGUAGGAGUGAAAUCUUGUAAUCCCCUGUGGGACCACCAGUGGCGAAGGCGUCUUACCAGAACGGUCCGACGGUGAGGGACGAAAGCUGGGGGCACGAACCGGA